rnacentral:rRNA from 1 species
GCGGCAGGCUUAACACAUGCAAGUCGAGGGGCAGCGGGGAGGAAGCUUGCUUUCUCCGCCGGCGACCGGCGCACGGGUGAGUAACACGUAUGCAACCUGCCCCUGUCAGGGGGACAACCCGCCGAAAGGCGGGCUAAACCCGCGUACAUGCCACCGGGGCAUCCCGGAGGCAGGAAAGGCUUCGGCCGGACAGGGAUGGGCAUGCGGCGCAUUAGGCAGUAGGCGGGGUAACGGCCCACCUAACCGACGAUGCGUAGGGGUUCUGAGAGAAAGGUCCCCCACACUGGUACUGAGACACGGACCAGACUCCUACGGGAGGCAGCAGUGAGGAAUAUUGGUCAAUGGUCGGGAGACUGAACCAGCCAAGCCGCGUGAGGGAGGAAGGUACAGAGUAUCGUAAACCUCUUUUGUCAGGGAACAAAGGCGGGGACGUGUCCCCGGAUGAGUGUACCUGAAGAAAAAGCAUCGGCUAACUCCGUGCCAGCAGCCGCGGUAAUACGGAGGAUGCGAGCGUUAUCCGGAUUUAUUGGGUUUAAAGGGUGCGCAGGCGGUCUGUUAAGUCAGCGGUCAAAGCCCGGGGCUCAACCCCGGCCCGCCGUUGAAACUGGCAGUCUCGAGUUGGAGAGAAGUAUGCGGAAUGCGCGGUGUAGCGGUGAAAUGCAUAGAUAUCGCGCAGAACUCCGAUUGCGAAGGCAGCAUGCCGGCUCCACACUGACGCUGAGGCACGAAAGCGUGGGUAUCGAACAGGAUUAGAUACCCUGGUAGUCCACGCAGUAAACGAUGAAUGCUGGCUGUCCGGGGGGAUUGACCCCUGGGUGGCGAAGCGAAAGCGAUAAGCAUUCCACCUGGGGAGUACGCCGGCAACGGUGAAACUCAAAGGAAUUGACGGGGGCCCGCACAAGCGGAGGAACAUGUGGUUUAAUUCGAUGAUACGCGAGGAACCUUACCCGGGCUCAAACGGGGAGUGACUCAGGCAGAGACGCCUGUUUCCCACAGGACACUCCCCGAGGUGCUGCAUGGUUGUCGUCAGCUCGUGCCGUGAGGUGUCGGCUUAAGUGCCAUAACGAGCGCAACCCCCGCGUGCAGUUGCUAACAGAUAACGCUGAGGACUCUGCACGGACUGCCGGCGCAAGCCGCGAGGAAGGCGGGGAUGACGUCAAAUCAGCACGGCCCUUACGUCCGGGGCGACACACGUGUUACAAUGGGUGGUACAGCGGGAAGCCAGGCGGCGACGCCGAGCGGAACCCGAAAUCCACUCUCAGUUCGGAUCGGAGUCUGCAACCCGACUCCGUGAAGCUGGAUUCGCUAGUAAUCGCGCAUCAGCCAUGGCGCGGUGAAUACGUUCCCGGGCCUU